AGUUUGAUCCUGGCUCAGGACGAACGCUGGCGGCGUGCUUAACACAUGCAAGUCGAACGGAAAGGCCCUUCGGGGUACUCGAGUGGCGAACGGGUGAGUAACACGUGGGUGAUCUGCCCUGCACUCUGGGAUAAGCCUGGGAAACUGGGUCUAAUACCGGAUAGGACCGCAUGCUUCAUGGUGUGUGGUGCAAAGCUUUUGCGGUGUGGGAUGAGCCCGCGGCCUAUCAGCUUGUUGGUGGGGUAAUGGCCUACCAAGGCGACGACGGGUAGCCGGCCUGAGAGGGUGACCGGCCACACUGGGACUGAGAUACGGCCCAGACUCCUACGGGAGGCAGCAGUGGGGAAUAUUGCACAAUGGGCGCAAGCCUGAUGCAGCGACGCCGCGUGAGGGAUGACGGCCUUCGGGUUGUAAACCUCUUUCAGUAGGGACGAAGCGAAAGUGACGGUACCUACAGAAGAAGGACCGGCCAACUACGUGCCAGCAGCCGCGGUAAUACGUAGGGUCCGAGCGUUGUCCGGAAUUACUGGGCGUAAAGAGCUCGUAGGUGGUUUGUCGCGUUGUUCGUGAAAACUCACAGCUUAACUGUGGGCGUGCGGGCGAUACGGGCAGACUAGAGUACUGCAGGGGAGACUGGAAUUCCUGGUGUAGCGGUGGAAUGCGCAGAUAUCAGGAGGAACACCGGUGGCGAAGGCGGGUCUCUGGGCAGUAACUGACGCUGAGGAGCGAAAGCGUGGGUAGCGAACAGGAUUAGAUACCCUGGUAGUCCA
rnacentral:rRNA from 1 species